UGGGACUUUUUCGCGACCUCUCAGUUGCGCGAGGCUGCAGAGUUGUUGACUUCACGUUCUAAAACUGUGGAAGUUUUACAAAAAGGGCUCAACUCUACCUCAAUUUCAAUUAGUAGAGUAUACAUUCAGGGGAUAGUAGAAAGUCAAAGCCGAUAAUUUGUCCAGAGAAGGAAGGAUUCUGACGCAAAGUCCUUGAGCUCGAAUGAGUAAGGAACGACCUUCUUCAAGAAACGUCUUCUCACGUCUUUGAAUGUGAAUUUGCUCUUACUUAACCUCUGUGAGGUUGAUGAUUUGCCAGUCGAUUACAGACUUUCAAGAUUUUUUGAGAUGCAUGAACCAGAACACUACCUUUAUAACCGGUCCAGUGCUCAGGACUAUGAUUUUACAUCAGUGAAAGAUUGCUGUACUUUAAGGUAAUAUUACAUCCAUUCCAGGGGUUUUAGAGUUUAGAUUUUUCCCCAUAGCAGAGAAGAGUACAUAGUUGCAAUUAUUUUUUAUUAUUUUACAGUGAAAUAGAGUUUUUAAACACUCUAUAGUGGAAUAUUCCUAUCAAAAAAGUGCCAAAUUUUUGGUUAAUAUUCAAAAAGACACUAUUUCACUACAACUGGUCAGAUUUCCAUAAGACUUGAUACAAAUGUUCUCCAAAAUGUUAUCUACAUCACCAUGCAAUUAUAUGUGCAUAUUAAUGAGCCCCUGGUUAAAUAUUAACUCUCAACGGAAAUAUUUUAAAACUCUUAAAUAUGCCCCCACCAUUUUUUACUCUUUCUAUUUAAAUUGAAGGCUUCAUAUUGCAUACACUCCGCAGGCCGGCUCAGCGGAGCCCCAUAGGUAUAGAAAUUGGUAAACUAGGCUUCUCAAUUUUUGUGGUCAUGACGUCACAUGUCAGGCCUGCCAGCUAUCUGCCCCCAUUAACAUGACAAGCCCAUGCGACCAGGCCAGCUUAUUGUUCGAUCGCUCUAAACCAAUAAGAGACAGAGUUCCAACAAGAACAGGUGGGGACUUGCAAAAGACGGGGAGGGGUGGUAAUCCUAUUCUGACUUUCGAAGUAAUGUGAAACUCAUGUUGGCAGAAAAGAAUUGACAAAAAAAAAGUGUUUGAGAAAAUGCAUAUGGUUAACCAGUUCCAAAUGGCCCGAUUGAAAAUGAGUGUUUGAAGAAUAUAUCUGUCUGUAAAGGAACUGCUUUAUAAAAGCUCGGAAUAUCUGCUCGAGUGUUCGUAAAAGCCAACUGUUAUUCUUCUUCAUCUGGUGCGGUGGUUGAUUUUAGAUGAAAGAAAAGGCUACAAUACCAGCAGCAUUUAUUAGGGAGCUGUCGAUGCUCUGCACUUCUAUUCUAAUUUAAGAUGUUAUGGAGCAAAAUCAAAGAAGAAUAGCUCACAAAAGUUUCCUCGUCAAUGAAACGCAAGAAACCGACAGCCCCCAUUAAUCCAGUUACCCUCGAGUGUAGCUGCCGUCUGUCUGUACGUAUUGACUGGGAAUACUUGUACCGUGAUCCCUGGACUGCAGGAAGACACUAAAAUCAAAUAAAAUACAUUUUUUCUUCGAAAACAGAACAGUGCGGUGUUUAGCUGGCCCAGCCUGAGUUAUACACUGUAUAACCCCCUCACACACAUUCAUUUCCCUCUUUUUCUCUGACAAAGGGCUAAUGCUCGAAACGUCAGCUGAUUUUACAAGGUGGUUUAAAGUUUAUCAUUACAUUCUAAACUGUCGUGUCGAAUUUAUUUGUUUAACUAAUGCGUCCAGCUUUUACAGUAGCUAGUUUAUCGUAACCAGUAAAGCUAUGACAGCCCGCAUGUAUUUUUAUAUAACAAUGCUCACCUUAACACAUCAAAAUGGAUUUCGCUGUCCACUGUCAGCCCUGGUGUCGUCCUUGUCACUUGAAGGUAGGCCCCAACCCACCAGUCGGCCUCUGUGUGAAUGGCACCGCGAGACAAAUAGCCUCUGAAUUGGUGCACAGGGCUACUCGUAACACCUGCCAUUCCAUCCAAGUUGACCGUCCAUAUAAAUGAAUGGAUAAACGCAUCCUCUUUCCUGUCUGCAACAUGCCCCUA